UCCGAUCUAUUGCUUCGACUUAUCGAAAAUUCGAGUAAUAGAGGUUCGAGUUAUCGAGGUGCCACUGUAUUUAACCAGAGUAUUGUGUGCGAUGACGUCACCAUAGAGGCGACUUGAUGUAAUCUAUUGUUAUGUCAUACUUUUGUUACACGUUUUAUGACGACAUCCAUUUUUACAUCACCGAUUAGGUUACGCUGGUGUUAUGACGUCAUCCUAAAUUCGAACAUCAUUCUGAAGGAUUUAAAUGAAGUAUCUAUGCCAUCUCAAAAUGCCUUACCCCUUGGGUUUAUAGACCAAGUUUGUUCUCUAACGAUAUGCAAGCUUUUCCGGCACAUAUUUACAUAUAUAGUACAUACAGAUCGACGUUAUACAUAACGAUCAUUUUAUUAUUCACGUAUGACAUCAUAAACGUGACUGUGUCGUUAUCCGGAAUUCCAAAAACAAAUGAAAAGAUUUAUAAAUGAUAUUCUUUUUUCAACAUAAAAUACCCUCACUUCGUGGGGCAUUUCGAAAAUUUCAUAUUUUUGUGGAAGGUCUGAGGCAGUGGAGGAUCUAUAUAAGGGUCAAUAGGGCUUGAGCCCAGGCCCUCCAACUUAUAGAGGGGCCAAGGCACAAUGCAAAAUAUGCAAUUCUUAAAGAAGUGAUAACAACAUUUAUUUACACUUCUAUGUGAUAGAACGUAGAAGUAUAAAAUAAUAUCUCAAGCCCAGAGCCCUCAAAAGAUUAGAUUCGUCUUGAUCUGGAGUCAAUCCCUAUCUCCAUGCAAAAUUUCAAUUUUCUAGUAUUUUUGAAAGUACCCAAACAAUUCACGCGGACGUAAAAAUAUAUACAGUCCGUUUCUUUCCUAUUUACGGUAUAGAUGUAAAAUAUGUAAUAUAUCAAUGAUUAUUGAAAAUUUAUAUUCUGAAAGUUUCUUAUCAGGCAUGAAAUAUGAAUAAAAAAA
rnacentral:lncRNA from 1 species